UACGUAGGAUCCGAGCAUUAUCCGGAGUGACUGGGUGUAAAGAGUUGCGUAGGUGGCAUAAUAAGUAGCUAGUGAAAUCUGGUGGCUCAACCAUUCAGACUAUUAGCUAAACUGCUAAGCUCGAGACCGUUAGGGGUAACUGGAAUUUCUAGUGUAGGAGUGAAAUCCGUAGAUAUUAGAAGGAACACCGAUAGCGUAGGCAGGUUACUGGGACGGUUCUGACACUAAGGCACGAAAGCAUAGGGAGCAAACGGG
rnacentral:rRNA from 1 species